rnacentral:lncRNA from 1 species
GAGUCUUGCUCUGUUGCCCAGGCUAGAGUGCAGUGACGCGAUCUCGGCUCACUACCAGCUCCACCUCCCGGGUUCACGCCAUUCUCCUGCCUCAGCCUCCUGAGUAGCUAGGACUCCAGGUGCCUGCCACCACACCCAGCUAAUUUUUGUGUUUUUAGUAGAGAAGGGGUUUCACCGUGUUAGCCAGGAUGGUCUCGAUCUCCUGACCUCGUGAUCUGCCUGCCUCGGCCUCCCAAAGUGCUGGGAAUACAGGCAUGAGCCACCACGCCCGGCUUGUUUUUUUUGAGAUGGCGUCUUGCUCUUGUCGCCCAGGCUGGAGUGCAGUGGUGCUAUCUCAGCUCACUGCAACAUCUGCCUCCCAGGUUCAAGCAAUUCUCCUGCCUCAGCCUCCCGAGUAGCUGGGAUUACAGGCACCCACCACCAUGCCUGGCUAAUUUUUUGUAUUUUUUGUAGAGAUGGUGUUUCAUCAUGUUGGCCAGGCUGUUCUCAAACUGUAUUAUGUAGCUUAGUUUAGUUUCUAUUUUAGCAAGAAAGAAGCCUUCCUCUUUGAGAAAAAUUUGGAGCAGUAAUGACAGGAUUUGCUAUUGCAGACACUGGAGACAGGAAGGGAGAAAUAUUGAACUCUCCCUGUGUGUCUUCAGGAGGCCCUGGAGGCAGAUGGAGUUCCUAGGGCAGAAAGAAGUGGAGGCAGAGCCCAGACUCCAAAUUAGUGGAGUGAGCCCCCACUGGGUCCUGAGUUGGCUCAGAGUGGGUGAGAGAAGGGGCGUAAGGUACGUGUGUGCAUGUCACAGCUAUCCCGAGCCCAAAGGCUUCUCCAGGGCAUAGGUCCUGGCAUCUGGGGGCAGCUACCCCCCACUCUAUCUCUUCCUCUGCUGUUGCCAUUUAAUUUUGGAAUAAGACAUUGGCUUAAGAGCCGGGCCAGGCUCUAGCCAGUGGCAGGUUGGGAUUGGGGGGGUCUGCAAACAGGGAUAAAGCCAGGCUGGAACCAUGUGGACCUGGGUUUAGUUUUGACCCUUCCUGACUCCCAUGUGACCUUAGACAGCCUCAGCUACCUCACUGGACCUCGGUUUUCUUAUCCGAUAAGGGUGAAGAGUAAUUCCUGCCUCUCUCACAAGGUAGCAAAGAGGCAUUUGUAAGAUGACCUGUGAGUAAGGUUCUGAAGCACAGGGCUAGCUGAGGGAUGGCUGCCAGCUUGCUGGAGGGCCACAGCCAGUUUCUUCCCCUUUCUGAACUUUCACGUCCUCACUUUCAAAAAAAGCCAUCCUGGCCAGAUGCAAUGGCUCACGGCUAUAAUCCCAGCACUUUGGGAGGCUGAGCUGGGUAGAUACUUGAGCCCAUCUCUCAAAAAAAUAAAAAAAUAAAAAAAAA